rnacentral:tRNA from 1 species
GCCUGGCUGGCUUGGUCAGAAGAGCAUGCGACUCUUAAUCUCAGGGUCAUGAGUUCAAACCCCAUGUUGGGUG